GACGAACGCUGGCGGCGUGCCUAAUACAUGCCAGUCGAACGAGAGCGACCGGUGCUUGCACUGGUCAAUCUAGUGGCGAACGGGUGAGUAACACGUGGGUAACCUGCCCAUCAGAGGGGGAUAACAUCCGGAAACGGAUGCUAAAACCGCAUAGGUCUUCGAACCGCAUGGUUUGAAGAGGAAAAGAGGCGCAAGCUUCUGCUGAUGGAUGGACCCGCGGUGCAUUAGCUAGUUGGUGAGGUAACGGCUCACCAAGGCCGUGAUGCAUAGCCAACCUGAGAGGGUGAUCGGCCACAUUGGGACUGAGACACGGCCCAAACUCCUACGGGAGGCAGCAGUAGGGAAUCUUCCGCAAUGGACGCAAGUCUGACGGAGCAACGCCGCGUGAGUGAAGAAGGUUUUCGGAUCGUAAAACUCUGUUGUUAGAGAAGAACAAGUGCUAGAGUAACUGUUAGCGCCUUGACGGUAUCUAACCAGAAAGCCACGGCUAACUACGUG
rnacentral:rRNA from 1 species